rnacentral:rRNA from 1 species
UACGGGGGGGGCAAGCGUUGUUCGGAAUUACUGGGCGUAAAGGGCUCGUAGGCGGCCAACUAAGUCAGACGUGAAAUCCCUCAGCUUAACUGGGGAACUGCGUCUGAUACUGGAUGGCUUGAGUUCGGGAGAGGGAUGCGGAAUUCCAGGUGUAGCGGUGAAAUGCGUAGAUAUCUGGAGGAACACCGGUGGCGAAGGCGGCAUCCUGGACCGACACUGACGCUGAGGAGCGAAAGCCAGGGGAGCGAACGGG